CCGACAGACAGCGCUUAUUUAUAUCUAUGCUUCUGUUGUGUGACCUCCAGUAUUCAAAGGGAGAACCCAUUGAAAGGAAGACUUGUUUCUCUCAAAAACCUGAAAACCCUACUCACUGAGAGGAACCGGAUUCCUGCCUUAAGUAAUGGACAUCAGAAGGAUGGGAUGGACUAGAUUGUAGAAAACAAACUUCAGAAAUCAAAGAAAAGCAGGGUGCUACUUUCAUCUCAACAGGUCACAGUAUCAAUACAGCAGCCAAACUACAAGGCUUGAUCGUCUCUGUAACCUGUAUCAUGAAUGACACAUCUAGCAGAAGACUGCACCGUUGUCCAGCAGCUCCUUAGAGAAGUAAGCAUAGGUGAUUCCCCAAAUUCCAAAGGUAUUUAAUGUAUCAAGCAGAAAUAUAUAGACUCUAAAGAAAAGAAAGCAACUGUUCCACUGAGGUCUGAGCCAAGGCACUAGGGUACAUGGGCUCUGUCACAUAUGCUUUCACGUGUCUAGUAAAGCCAUGGUAAAGUAAAACCUAUAAAAGUGCAAGUAUGAAAAUAGGGACAUAAAAACCAAUCAAAUGCAAAUCCCUUUCAGGGACUUCAAAGUCAAC
rnacentral:lncRNA from 12 species